rnacentral:rRNA from 1 species
UACGUAGGAGGCAAGCGUUGUCCGGAAUUACUGGGCGUAAAGCGCGCGUAGGUGGCCAUGUAAGUCCGCUGUGAAAGUCAAAGGCUCAACCUUUGAAAGCCGGUGGAUACUGCAUGGCUAGAGUACGGAAGAGGCGAGUGGAAUUCCUGGUGUAGCGGUGGAAUGCGCAGAUAUCAGGAGGAACACCAAUAGCGAAGGCAGCUCGCUGGGACGGUACUGACGCUGAGACGCGAAAGCGUGGGGAGCGAACAGG